UCCAAAACCAAUAGCCCAUGCGGCCAAUAAUUGAAACAGGCUGUCAGCCCAUUUUAUAGAAAAAACACUCAAAUAUUAAGAAAAUUACGAAACAUGCCACUGAGACUCACAUAACCCAUUUCUCCCAAAAUCAGAACGGUUCCAAAAUCGAAACUAUCCCAAAAUCCAAAUCCUCCCUAAAUCGAUCUAGGGCUCCGACGAAGGUAAGGGACGAAGCAGCUGGCGGAUCGAGGCGGCGAAGCAACCGGCGAAGGGAGGCUGCGAAUCCUGCGAAGGGAGGCUGCCAAUUCGGCCAAGCAAGGCUGUGAAGCAACCUGCGAAGCGAGGUUGCGAAGCCGGCGAAGUGAGGCGGCAAAUCCGGCGAAGCAAAGCUGCGAGGCAACCGGCGAACCUAGGCUGCGAAGCCGGCGAAGUGAGGCUGCGAAGGUUAUCAAUUUGACUAUGUAUUUGAUUGGACAAUACUGAAGUAUCCACAAAUUGGCUCCAGUUCCAGAACACGAGCAAGUGCAAAACCAGGUUUGAACCCUGGACCUUCUGCAGAAAGAACAGAAAGGCCUUCAGUGGGACAAGAUUUUCGAGAUAGAUUCUCAGGUGCGGUUGAAGCAUUUUCUAGAAGGAAUGGUUCUGGGCAUGGUUCACAUGGUGAUAACUCCAGACAUAGAUCAACUGAUGAUGCGCCAUCAUCCAAAGAUGUGGUGAGUGGUGCCAACAUCUUAUCCAGUUUAUGUUUGAGAAAUUUUGAGGGUCAGUACUUUUAGCCUCAUGUUGUCACAGGUUUUGGCAUGGGUAAGCUAUAAUGACCUUGUGUUGUUUAUUUGUUUUGCAAUUUGGUGGAGCUGUACUGAUCCUAAUUUAUUUGUUAUUUCUGCAGGGCUCAGCAACAUUUUGUUUGUAGGUCAGUAGCUAUAGUAUGAUUGUUAGUUUUGUAUUGAGGGUCAGUAGCUUUAGUUUGUGUUUAUGUUAGUUUCUUAUGGUUCUUUGUUCUUGCAAGUUCAUGGAUUAGUUGCAAAUUUUGCUGCUUGUAUCUUCUACUUCCUUUCAUUUUUUUCUUUUCCAAUUUUUAUCUUGGAAAGAAAUAGAAGAAACUAUAGAGAUUAGGCUCUAAGUUUAGUGACAGUUUUUAU